rnacentral:rRNA from 1 species
GACAGAGGAUGCAAGCGUUAUCCGGAAUGAUUGGGCGUAAAGCGUCUGUAGGUGGCUUUUCAAGUCCGCCGUCAAAUCCCAGGGCUCAACCCUGGACAGGCGGUGGAAACUGCCAAGCUGGAGUACGGUAGGGGCAGAGGGAAUUUCCGGUGGAGCGGUGAAAUGCGUAGAGAUCGGAAAGAACACCAACGGCGAAAGCACUCUGCUGGGCCGACACUGACACUGAGGCGCGAAAGCGUGGGGAGCGAACGGG